CUUUCCCAGGACAAUAAGCACCCAGGCGCAACGUGUGCACAAGUAGCACUGGGAUCUGUUGAAAUUGUCUAUUACCAGACUAAUAGUAAUGGGUGCCCUCAUGCAACUGCAGCUGCUACAAUGCUCAUUUUAGAGAUAACAAAGUAAAGUAGCACUCUGGACACAGGUGGACGAACGAGGACAGAUGCAGAGUGCUGCUCCAAUUCACUAUGCAUACGCAGCAACUACUCCAUUUCUACACUUUGGCCCUUUUCUAGGAAAAUAUGUUACAGCUUGCAUAACAACACCACAAGAUGUCAACGUGAGCGAAGACAAAAUGUGAAGGGCUUUGCCCUCUUUCCCAGAGAUAAUGAAGUAAAGUUGCACUCUGGACAUGGACAGACGAGCAGAAGACAGACACAGCUGCCAGCCCUCUGCCGACGUAACAUAUCUGCAAAACACCAACAGAUGCAGGUGUCCAACAUGUACUUCAAAAGCACAAGUACAAAUUUUCGGAACAUAUUGAUUCUUUUUAUCUACUUCAUGGAAGCACCGCAGAUAUAUUUACUCGGUGAGGAGCUACUACUUGUGUCUGUCGUCUUUUCCAUCAGUGUCUAGAGUGCAGCUUCACUUCACUGUGCAUAUGCGGUACCCCAUUUCUGCACUUCGGCCCUUAUAGGAAAUAGAUUUCAGCUUAUAUACAAACAUAAGUGGUGAUACUUCCUUCAGUUCUAUGAUGAGACUCAGCAAUUAAUACAUUAAACAACACAGGGAAUAAGUCAAAAUAUGCACACAAGGGUGCUAGUUAGUUUUACGUUCAUGAGGUCUAGUAAUCAAACAAAAUUGAAAAAAAAAAAAAAAAGAUACAUAUAUGUAUAAGCCGUCUGCCCACAAAAGUUCCACCCUGAUGCUUCGUAGUUUUCUUCUUUUUGUUUUCAGGUUUUUUUUUUCUUCUUCUUUUUUUCACAUCGCGUUUGCGCUGGGAAAGUAUAUCACUUCUAAUAUAGUCAGAAGUCAACCGUUCUGUGGAAAUAAAAAUGUAGAUCUGGU